rnacentral:tRNA from 1 species
GGGCUUGUAGUUCAGCGGGAGAACGACGGUCUGUAUCAAAUCCGCAGGCCAAAAAAAACCGUGCGGCGUGGGUUCGAAUCCCAUCAAGUCCA